AAGGCAGUCGCUUAACCAACUGAGCCACCCAGGUGCCCUACUCUAUUGAUACAGGGUACAUCUGAAAGAGAACAGGCAGAGUGAAAAGAAACCAUUCUAGAUCUGUUGGCAGAUGUGAACAGAUUUGCCCCCUGUAUGAGUAUGAAAAGAGAAGAAGAUACCAUUGCAGCCUGUAGAAGCUGAAAAAGGCAAGGAAAUAAACUCUCCCCUAGAACCUCGGGAAGGAAUGCAUCUCUGUUGACACCUUGACCUUAGUUUGGUAGACUUGUGUAGGACUUCUAACCUACAUAGCUGUAAGAUAAUAAAUUUAUAUUGUUUUAA